rnacentral:rRNA from 1 species
GACGAACGCUGGCGGCGUGCUUAACACAUGCAAGUCGAGCGAUGAAUUUUCUUCGGAAAUGGAUUAGCGGCGAACGGGUGAGGAACACGUGAAGAAUCUGCCCUCCACUUUGGGAUAACACAGGGAAACCUGUGCUAAUACCGAAUAUUGAAACAUAAGUGGCAUCACUGAGUUUUGAAAGAAUUUCGGUGGAGGAUGACUUCGCGGCCUAUCAGCUAGUUGGUGAGGUAAUGGCUCAUCAAGGCAACGACGGGUAGCCGGCCUGAGAGGGCGACCGGCCACACUGGGACUGAGACACGGCCCAGACUCCUACGGGAGGCAGCAGUGGGGAAUAUUGGGCAAUGGAGGAAACUCUGACCCAGCGACGCCGCGUGCGGGAUGAAGGCCUUCGGGUUGUAAACCGCUUUCAGUAGGGAAGAAGCGAAAGUGACGGUACCUACAAAGGAAGCACCGGCUAACUAUGUGCCAGCCGCCGCCGUAA